rnacentral:rRNA from 1 species
GGCGUAAAGCGUGGUUAGGCAUACCCCCCCAACUAGGGCCAAACACCCUCAAAGCCGUUAUACGCACAUGAGGACUUGAAGAUCUCCUACAAAAGUGGCCCUAAACCCUACUGAACCCACGAAAGCUACAAAACAAACUGGGAUUAGAUACCCCACUAUGUGUAGCCGUAAACCUUGAUGGUAACCUGUACCCUUCCAUCCGCCUGGGAACUACGAGCGCUAGCUUAAAACCCAAAGGACUUGGCGGUGCUUUAGACCCCCCUAGAGGAGCCUGUUCUAGAACCGAUAACCCCCGUUCAACCUCACCACCCCUUGUUAAUACCGCCUAUAUACCGCCGUCGUCAGCUUACCCUGUGAAGGUUUAACAGUAAGCAAGACUAGUAAAACUCAAAACGUCAGGUCGAGGUGUAGCGAAUGGGUUGGGAAGAAAUGGGCUACAUUUUCUCUUGAGAAUAUACGAAUAGUGUGUGAAACACACACCUGAAGGAGGAUUUAGCAGUAAGUGGAAAAUAGAGCAUCCCACUGAAA